rnacentral:tRNA from 1 species
UCCCUGGUGGCUCAGAUGGUAAAGAAUCUGCCUUCAAUGCAGGAGACCCAGGUUCAACCCCUGGGUCGGGAA